rnacentral:rRNA from 2 species
GGAUGCGAUCAUACCAGCACUAAAGCACCGGAUCCCAUUAGAACUCCGAAGUUAAGCGUGCUUGGGCGAGAGUAGUACUAGGAUGGGUGACCUCCUGGGAAGUCCUCGUGUUGCUUUCC